AUUGCCUCAGUAACGGCGAGUGAAGCGGCAACAGCUCAAAUUUGAAAUCUGGUCCUUUCAGGGCCCGAGUUGUAAUUUGUAGAGGAUGUUUCGGGUGCGGUGCGGGUCUAAGUCCUUUGGAACAGGGCGUCAUAGAGGGUGAGAAUCCCGUAUGUGACCCGUAACCAACCCCAUGUGAAACCCCUUCGACGAGUCGAGUUGUUUGGGAAUGCAGCUCAAAAUGGGUGGUAAAUUUCAUCUAAAGCUAAAUACUGGCCAGAGACCGAUAGCGCACAAGUAGAGUGAUCGAAAGAUGAAAAGCACUUUGGAAAGAGAGUCAAAAAGUACGUGAAAUUGUUGAAAGGGAAGCGCUUGCAACCAGACCUGUCCGCAGGCGAUCAACUCCCGUUCGCGGGGGUGCACUCGUCUGUGAUCAGGCCAGCAUCGGUUCGGGCGGUCGGAUAAAGGCCUUGGGAAUGUAGCUCCUUCCGGGGAGUGUUAUAGCCCUCGGUGCAAUGCGGCCAGCCCGGACCGAGGACCGCGCCUUCGGGCUAGGAUGCUGGCGUAAUGGUUGUAAGCGACCCGUCUUGAAACACGGACCAAGGAGUCUAACAUCUAUGCAAGUGUUUGGGUGUCAAACCCAUACGCGUAAUGAAAGUGAACGGAGGUGAGAACCCUUAAGGGCGCAUCAUCGACCGAUCCAGAUGUCUUCGGAUGGAUUUGAGUACGAGCAUAGCUGUUGGGACCCGAAAGAUGGUGAACUAUGCCUGAAUAGGGUGAAGCCAGGGGAAACCCUGGUGGAGGCUCGCAGCGGUUCUGACGUGCAAA
rnacentral:rRNA from 1 species